rnacentral:rRNA from 1 species
UACGAAGGGUGCAAGCGUUACUCGGAAUUACUGGGCGUAAAGCGUGCGUAGGUGGUUUGUUAAGUCUGAUGUGAAAGCCCUGGGCUCAACCUGGGAACUGCAUUGGAAACUGGCUUACUAGAGUGCGGUAGAGGGGUGUGGAAUUCCCGGUGUAGCAGUGAAAUGCGUAGAUAUCGGGGAGGAACAUCUGUGGCGAAGGCGACACCCUGGACCAGCACUGACACUGAGGCACGAAAGCGUGGGGAGCAAACAGG